rnacentral:rRNA from 1 species
AGAGUUUGAUCCUGGCUCAGGAUGAACGCUAGCGGCAGGCUUAACACAUGCAAGUCGAGGGGCAUCACGAGUAGCAAUACUUGGUGGCGACCGGCGCAAGGGUGCGUAACGCGUGAGCAACAUGCCCGUAUCAGGGGGAUAAUCCAGGGAAACUUGGUCUAAUACCCCAUAGCAAUUGAAGGAGGCAUCUUCUUUGAUUUAAAGCUUUGGUGGAUACGGAUUGGCUCGCGUGACAUUAGCUAGAUGGUAAGGUAACGGCUUACCAUGGCUACGAUGUCUAGGGGUUCUGAGAGGAAGGUCCCCCACACUGGAACUGAGACACGGUCCAGACUCCUACGGGAGGCAGCAGUGAGGAAUAUUGGACAAUGGAUGGAAAUCUGAUCCAGCCAUGCCGCGUGCAGGAAGACGGCCCUAUGGGUUGUAAACUGCUUUUAUAUGGGAGCAAUAAGACCUACGUGUAGGUCGAUGAGAGUACCAUAUGAAUAAGCACCGGCUAACUCCGUGCCAGCAGCCGCGGUAAUACGGAGGGUGCAAGCGUUAUCCGGAUUUAUUGGGUUUAAAGGGUGCGUAGGCGGUUUGAUAAGUCAGCGGUGAAAUAUUUCAGCUUAACUGGAAGGGUGCCGUUGAUACUGUCGAGCUUGAAUUUAGUUGCUGUGGGUGGAAUGUGUGGUGUAGCGGUGAAAUGCAUAGAUAUCACACAGAAUAUCGAUUGCGAAGGCAGCUCACAAAGCUAAUAUUGACGCUGAUGCACGAAAGUGUGGGGAUCAAACAGGAUUAGAUACCCUGGUAGUCCACACUGUAAACGAUGAUAACUCGCUGUCGGCGAUACACAGUCGGUGGCCAAGCGAAAGCGAUAGUUAUCCACCUGGGGAGUACGACCGCAAGGUUGAAACUCAAUGAAUUGACG